rnacentral:rRNA from 1 species
CAAGUCGAACGGCAGCACGGGGCAACCUGGUGGCGAGUGGCGAACGGGUGAGUAAGCAUCGGAACGUGCCCUGGAGUGGGGGAUAACGUAGCGAAAGUUACGCUAAUACCGCAUAUUCUGUGAGCAGGAAAGCAGGGGAUCGCAAGACCUUGCGCUCUGGGAGCGGCCGAUGUCGGAUUAGCUAGUUGGUGGGGUAAAGGCCUACCAAGGCGACGAUCCGUAGCGGGUCUGAGAGGAUGAUCCGCCACACUGGGACUGAGACACGGCCCAGACUCCUACGGGAGGCAGCAGUGGGGAAUUUUGGACAAUGGGCGGAAGCCUGAUCCAGCCAUGCCGCGUGAGUGAAGAAGGCCUUCGGGUUGUAAAAGCUCUUUCGGCCGGGAAGAAAUCGCAUGGGUCAAUACCCUGUGUGGAUGACGGUACCGGAAUAAGAAGCACCGGCUAACUACGUGCCAGCAGCCGC